CCUCUUUACUAGGGGUUUGUAUUCAGAGCAGAGAAAAACACAAUUAUGGUUCAAUUUCCCCAGAGGAGGUUUUGGUUUGGAGACAUAUGCAUCCUUGACAUCAGUAAAAAGCAAAUACAAAAUCUUGUUUUCCUGGGUGGAACAGCUGACAAAAUGGUGAAACAUUGGCAGCGCAGAAAAGAGUGAGGCAUGAUUAAAAUCGCCAGGUAUUGCAGAUGCAUUAUCGGCAACAGCUCAGGGUGGAAUUUAAACAAAAUAACACUGGUGAACUCUCUUGGUAAAUAGUAUGGUCAGAAUGUCAUGAUUUAUGUUCUGUCCAUGCUGUACUUGAACACUCAUUCAGCUCACCUGCCAUGCCCGUUGCUUACCUGUUCCACCUGAUCCCCUCCCUACUUAAAUACCUCUCAGUCUCUGCCUCCUUGCCAGAUCAUCAACAGCCAUGAGCCAGUAGAGAUCCAGCGUUUCCUUCCAAGCCUCCAGUGGUUCUACGACCCUCUUCUGUCCAUGGAUUGAACCCCCUGCCAAGCCCUUCACGGAUCCCAUCUGUUCUGGAUUUCUGGACCCUGAUCCAAGCUUUACCUCUCGACCACCGAGUAUUGCCUGCCCCUCAAACUAAGUUCGCUCUCUCUGUCCUCUUGUGUAUGACCUCUGCCUGAUUAUUGUCAAAGUCCCUGGGUGUUGCCUCUUGGAUCUGCUUGUGGAGAGUUUCAUUGCUUCCACACUAGCCUGUACUACCUGGUUUCUCAGCUCCACCCGUCCACUGCUCUACAGGUCAGUUAAGCUGUACAUUUCUAAGUUACCCCUCCUUUAUAAGUGCAUCACCAGUCUUCUCCCCUCUCUUCUCAGUGCUGAGUGUGACGACCUCAUCCUGAGCAGCAACCAGAGUCUGAAUAUUUAAUUAAACUUGUUUUUUUCCCUUUGCAAACUCCUGUGUGUGGUUGGAUUUCCGGGUCCCCACUGAGAGUUCUUACACAGAAGCUUACUUCCAAGAGUUUAAUGUCUAGACUACAGAGAUGACACUUCACAGUAACAUGUUCUGCAUAACACAAUCUGUUGUUCACAAAGAUUGCUAAUCCACUUCCCUUUUAAAUCUGGUCUGCUAUUCUUUAAAUCUGUCUGCUUGAAUAGUUAGGAAGCUUGGCAGAGAGACAUUGGAGUCGUGGAUACAAUCCUGCAGCCAUGUCUCUGUAAAGCACAUUAUACUGCAUUCCUUGUACUCUAGCUGCGUCCUUGUCAGGGCUUAAAGAUCUUCCAUCUUGUUAGCAAACGAUCUCACAUUGCCCCUUACGAUGGAUGGUACAGAUGGUUUGAUCUUCCUCCUGCUCUCUCCCCUUGCUGCUGCUCUGCAUCCAUGAUACCUCCAUUUGAACUUCUCUGGGAUUUCUUGCGUCAGCUUUUAAAUGUUGUUCAGCUGUUCCCUGUUGUAUACCACUCUGUUGCUAUAGUUACGCAUCAUAACAAAAUGGCAAAAAUCAGUCAAAACACAGCAUUCAAAACAAGAAUCAACAGCUGUCCAAAAAAGCUUUUUUCAUCCAAAAAAGCAGUAAUUAAUGUUUGAAAAUAAAAUUUAAAUGGUAAAAAAUAAAAUGAAAAAAAUCGCAAUGAAAACACAGAACUACUACAUCUUGGGUGCUCGUCCGAGAUCCCAACAUACCCGCCCGCUGACGGAGGAAGUACAAUGCGCUGAAACCUUCCGGCAGGCAGGGUCUGAAAGUCCUGGGGCGUAACUUCCUUGCUGGGGCAGCGUUUUAAGUCACCUCCUUCUGCCAACAGCGGAUUGACAGGAUGCAAACCGGGACGGAGCAAGGGAUCAACCAAGACCCCCAGGCGGUGAAACUGGGAGAUGGGGUCUUCAUCAAAGCCAUUGAGAGGAAGAACUGGGCCAGCCCGCGGUGGGCGGGGCCAUUCCAAGUACUCCUGUCCACUCCCACUGCAGUAAAAAUCACUGAACGACCAUCUUAGAUCCACCUCAGCCACUCAAAAAUGGGGUGCCGAUGGAGAUGGAGCCUCUUUUGCACUGCGGCUGUUACGUGUGUGCCAUGUCAAAGGACCUCACAAGAAGACUUUCUUUCAUGGAUUAUAUCUGGACCAUGGUGACAUCUCCUGUUGAAAAUAAUGAUGCCAUUUAUUGUUAUUCUUUUAUUGCUUUGUAUUUUAUUGUCUACAUAAUCCCAUGUUUAAAAUCAAUGAUAGCUAAAACUGUUGGAAAUGUUAUGCAUCAGUACCAACUUGUUGCCUCCAUCUCUGAGGGAGACUCAAAUGUCUAAUGUUGUGAAGAAUGUAAUAAAAAUAUGCCAGCAAGAAAUGUAUUCCUGAUGUUUGUGUUAGAAUCUGUAAAUAAUAUGAAAAACAGGAGGGAGAAUGUUGGAAAAAUUAUCAAAGUUCAUUUAAAUUAUGAGUUUAUACGUUUUCAUAUUAUUCUUUUGUAUUUUUUUUCUGUUUUUUUCUUUGGCCCCUUUUCUUUUAUGGUACAUUAACUCUUCUUUGGAUGUUUGCUUGGAGAUUAGAAAUACUUACUUACUCUUAUGGUUUUAUCAACCUGCCUGUCAUAGACAAGUCAGCUUUGUGUAUUGUAAGAGUGUCCUAGAACAUCCUGUGACAGAAUUCUCUGACGAAACUAUCUGUGUGACUAUGUGAAGAAACCCAACCCUCUUAUCCUUGUUAUGAUAAUAAAAAAUCAGAUGAGAAGUGAGAGCUGGUGGAGUUGAUCCCAGACAGUUGUUUGACUGCGGUUCUCCGCGUCUGGCUUCUCUCCCCUCUUCGGCAGAAGAGUAACUUGAGUCUCUGGUUGAUUUCUUGCAGGUUGGGAACUAAAAUUGACCCAACAUAUUCCACUCUGCUGCCACCUUCAGUGGCGCACAUUGUAAUUUUAUCAGUGAAAAGUUCUACACAGGGGCACAUCUACUGGGGUGGCAGUUGCCACACAACUGAUCCUACACAUAUAAAAUUUUACCUACUUAGCUGGACUGAAUUUGACUCUCUAUAAAUAAUUUGAACAAAUUAUAGGAAUUUACUGAACUGAAGUAAAGAUUGAUUUGAAACAAGUUUAAAUAGACUUUGGACAAACCAGUAUUCUUUAUAUAAUUACUUUGAAGAUUUUAAGAUUAUGAAGGUCUUUUAAUUUAAGGGCACCCCUCAACAUGAUCUUGAAGUGAGGGAAGGGAUGGAGAUGGAUGGGGAUGACUUAUUUUAUUUUUUUCUUGGCAUACAGCAGCUUUUAAAACAAGAUUUUUAAAAUCUUUGAAAAUAAAUGAAGUUAUAAAUCUUAAAGGUAAAAUAAAAUAAAAAUAUUUUUGCUUUUUUAUCACAAAGCUUUACCCAAAGUUCAGGGUCCAUCCAAAAUUUUAUAUACAUUUUGUCUGACUUGGCACUGUGAUGGGAAAAGUAGGGAAAGGGAAAAAAUAACCCUAUAUAAGUAUAUGCAGUAUAAUGUAACACCUUGCAACUAAAACUAUGGAAAUAAUUUACUGAACUGUAUUCAAGUGAUGUGAAGAAAGCAUAAUAAAAUGUGAAAGCAAAGUAGAACCUUCACAGCCAUUUGGUGUAAAGAGUUAGCAGCACUUGUGG